rfam:Schistosoma mansoni strain Puerto Rico chromosome 1, complete genome
GUCCAGCUGACGAGUCCUAAAUGGGACGGAACGCGCGCCUUGGAU